rnacentral:rRNA from 1 species
AUUGAACGCUGGCGGCAUGCUUUACACAUGCAAGUCGGACGGCAGCACAGAGACGCUUGCUUCUUGGGUGGCGAGUGGCGAACGGGUGAGUAAUAUAUCGGACCGUACCUAGUAAUGGGGGAUAACUAAUCGAAAGAUUCGCUAAUACCGCAUAUUCUCUGAGGAGGAAAGCAGGGGACCUUCGGGCCUUUCGUUAUUCGUGCUGCCGAUAUCUGAUUAGCUAGUUGGUGGGGUAAAGGCCUACCAAGGCGACGAUCAGUAUCGGGUCUGAGAGGAUGAUCCGCCACACUGGAACUGAGACACGGUCCAGACUCCUACGGGAGGCAGCAGUGGGGAAUUUUGGACAAUGGGCGCAAGCCUGAUCCAGCCAUGCCGCGUGUGUGAAGAAGGCCUUCGGGUUGUAAAGGACUUUUGUCAGGGAAGAAAAGGCUGUUGAUAAAAUCAAGAGAUGAUGACGGUACCUAAAGAAUAAGCACCGGCUAACUACGUG